CCCUACGGGUGGCAGCAGUGGGGAAUAUUGCACAAUGGGGGAAACCCUGAUGCAGCAACGCCGCGUGAGUGACGAAGGCCUUCGGGUUGUAAAACUCUGUCUUAGCUGACGAUAAUGACGGUAAGCUAGGAGGAAGCCACGGCUAACUACGUGCCAGCAGCCGCGGUAAUACGUAGGUGGCGAGCGUUGUCCGGAAUUACUGGGCGUAAAGGGAGCGUAGGCGGUUUAUUAAGUGGGAUGUGAAAUCCCCGGGCUUAACCUGGGAAUUGCAUUCCAAACUGGUAGACUAGAGUGCAGGAGAGGAAAGUGGAAUUCCAAGUGUAGCGGUGAAAUGCGUAGAGAUUUGGAGGAACACCAGUGGCGAAGGCGACUUUCUGGACUGAUACUGACGCUGAGGCUCGAGAGCGUGGGGAGCAAACAGGAUUAGAUACCCUUGUAGUC
rnacentral:rRNA from 1 species